GAUGAACGCUGGCGGCGUGCUUAACACAUGCAAGUCGAACGGGAUCCAAGGGGUGCUUGCACUUUUUGGUGAGAGUGGCGAACGGGUGAGUAACACGUGAGUAACCUGUCCUUUUCUUUGGGAUAAGCAUUCGAAAGGGUGUUUAAUACCUUAUGUUCUGUCUGCCUCGCAUGGGGUGGGUGGGAAAGGCUUUGGCCGGAUUUGGGUGGGCUCGCGGUCUAUCAGCUUGUUGGGGGGGUGAUGGCUUACCAAGGCUUUGACGGGUAGCCGGCCUGAGAGGGUGGUCGGUCACAUUGGGACUGAGAUACGGCCCAGACUCCUGCGGGAGGCAGCAGUGGGGGAUAUUGCACAAUGGGCGAAAGCCUGAUGCAGCGACGCCGCGUGGGGGAUGAAGGCCUGCGGGUUGUAAACUUCUUUUGCUCUGAACAAGGCAUGCCAGUGGGUGUGUUGAGUGUAGGGGUUGAUUAGCGCCGGCUAACUACGUG
rnacentral:rRNA from 1 species